UAGACCUACUAAAAGAGGUGAAAAUAAAUCAGCAGAGCUCACAGACCAUGGCUCUCCCCCAGCUUGGGCACUGGCAGGGAACUGCAAACAUCCAAAGCAGCUGUGUGGAGCAAAGAGAAAUCAGAACUUCCUGGAAUAUCCCAAAGGCACAGACUGAAGCACCUCGAAGUGUCACUGUCCCACAGCAGAUCAUGGAGACAGAUUUUGUGCCUGCAACACUAAAUAAAAACGCCCAGAGUCUGCACGAUGGCUGAAGCCAGGAGCUGCAGCAUUGCUAUGGAAUAAAGGAGCUUCUGUGACCUUCAAGAACAAUUGCU